UUUACAAUGGAGAGUUUGAUCCUGGCUCAGGAUGAACGCUAGCGGCAGGCCUAAUACAUGCAAGUCGAACGGUGUAGCAAUACACAGUGGCGCACGGGUGCGUAACACGUAUGCAACCUACCUAUCAUUGGGGGAUAGCCUUUGGAAACGG
rnacentral:rRNA from 1 species